CACAUGUUAGAUCUCCCAUCAAUCUAUCUCUCCUUCGCUUAUGGGGUUCGCAUGUUCCUCUCCUUUCUCAAGUCCAUCUAAGAUGAGCAGUGGAGAGAUGGAUGAGGGCGCAUCAGGACUAUGACGAGGGAGCGGCCAUGACAAUAUCGGUUGAAUGUAUCUCUUGGUGUGACUCUUCCAUAGAUGGCGGUAGCCAGCAACAAGGAGGACUAAAGCAACGGGAAUACCACUAAUGAUUGAAGGCAAGGUCUUGGAACAGAGAGAAACAUUGGUGGUCAGCUCUCGUGGUGAACGUGACUAGCUGAGCGUGUCAAUAUGAGUUCUCGAAUGAUGCGGUUCCAUUUUCCUGAAACGGUGGUGUGGAUCUAGGCGAAAGGGUGGCCAUGGUGGCCAUCCAUGGUGAAAAAGAGGAAAGGAAAGUUGAGGGCAAACCCUCACCAAGGCGAUGUAGCACUGCCAGCGUGAUGGAGCACCAAGAGAAGUCUAGUGUCAUCG
rnacentral:lncRNA from 1 species